ACUCGAGUGGCGAACGGGUGAGUAACACGUGGGUGAUCUGCCCUGCACUUCGGGAUAAGCCUGGGAAACUGGGUCUAAUACCGGAUAGGAGCCAUUUUUAGUGUGAUGGUUGGAAAGUUUUUCGGUGUGGGAUGAGCUCGCGGCCUAUCAGCUUGUUGGUGGGGUAAUGGCCUACCAAGGCGGCGACGGGUAGCCGGCUGAGAGGGUGGACGGCCACAUUGGGACUGAGAUACGGCCCAG
rnacentral:rRNA from 1 species